CGGCCGGCUGCUCUCGCUCGGGCUCUGCAGCCGCUCCUUCUCCAGUGUUCCCAGGAAUCUUUCUGCGGAAUCCAGUUUCGAUUUCAGCUCUGCGACCUGCAGGCAGGAGUGGUUCACAGACAGCUGCAGACACCUGGUCCGAAGCCCACCAACCCCUGUAUUUUUUUCCCAACCUAACACCGCGGGACAGAACUGGCUGACUCCUGGGCGUCCCCUAGGGAGGGGCUGCUCUUCCCACCGCCCCAAACCAAGAUCAGGUCUUUUGCUUUUAAAAAAAUGCUUCCUCUACAAGAGAAAAAAGCAAACACCAAAACAGCUUGUAGACUCCUUUCUCCAGACUACGCCCCUUUGGAGGGAAUAAACCCUUAGACCUUACGGGAGCCAUCGAGGCUUGCCAUUCUCUUUUCAACUGGCAAGGUGUGCCUUGCGUGAUCUGAAGAAGGCAGUGAAGGGUGGAGAUCAGUGAACAUGCUUACAUUACAGAAAAACAGAUACGGCCUUUAACUCCUCAGUAACCUGCAGCGCUUGACCUGCUGUGCAGUGCGUGCCAAGUCUCUUGACCUGCUAUUAAAUUCCAAAUUAGGUGUCUGGGUUGCAGGGGUCCAGCGAGAGAAGCCUUAGGAACAAGCACUUCAUCAAAGAUGGAGAGUGUGACCAUUUUUAACCCUGGGUCUUCACGCAGCUGCAAGCCCUUUGGGAAGCUCGGGGUUUCCCGGGAUGUCUCAAGCUGGCGGGCUGUGACUAACACACAAGGCAGGUUGCCUAGCUAUGAUUGUAGGUGCUGCUAUGGGAAGAAGAAGACAGAGGAGAGAAUUCCUGCGUAGGACUGCACUGAAAAUAGAAACCGUCUGAGCAAACACCAAAGUGGCUGAGAUUUCCUGCAGUCAACUGGAUUAAAUUAUUCUCCAAAAAGUGGGAUGGGGGUCCCAGAUCGAAACAAAACAGUUUAAAAAAUAAAGA